AAACUUUCUUAGAAAACAUCUUUGCUGGAAACAGCUGAAGGAAAAAUAGUAGAACUCAUGAAAAAGGUUCAUGAACAACAAAAGCUGAUACAGAAAUUAGAAGAUGAUAUAUUGAAGGGGUAUAGUUCCAAAGAAAGGAAAGGGACUCUCUUUGAUGAUUGGGAUCUUUCUAAGAGUGGAGGGAAUGAAAUUUCUGAGAACACAGAUCACAAACAAGUUUCCUCAGAUCAAGAGCAAAGCUCAAUGCUGAAGGUGAUAUGCAAUCAGCGUGAUUGAUUUAGGGCACGGUUGCGGGAAACUGAGGAAGAAAUAUGGCACUUAAAGGAGAAGAUAGGGGAGCUAACAACAGAACUGGAGAAAACAAAAGCUGAUAAUGUUAAACUUUAUGGAAAGAUUCGCUAUGUUCAGGAUUAUAACCAUGAGAAAGUAAUUUCUAGAGGAUCAAAGAAGGAGAGGGAUCAAAGAUACAAGGAGUUGGGCUUCAGAGACAUUCACACUCGGCAGCGGACGUUUUCUUCUGGGAAACAAGUAUGCUCGAACAUUUGCAUUUUUCUACACAAUUGGUUUGCAUAUACUAGUCUUUACCUGCCUAUACCGAGUGUCGGCUCUAAGUUACCUCAGCCAUGGCUCUGAGGAACCCCUCGUUGUCGAAAAAAACCUGAACCUCCCGCGCAGACAUUAGCGUGGUCAACCGUUGCCAUUUCUGCAUUUAUACUUUUGUUAUUGUGAGAAGAAUACGGCAUUGACAUACUUAAUAAACUGUACAUGUAACAGAAUGGUGUUAUGGUCCAAAUCAAAUAGUUGAUAGUCG